rnacentral:lncRNA from 1 species
GUUUACAUUGUACCUUAUACAGCCAGUAAUAGUUACAAUAAAAAGUUGUCAUUGAAAAACAAUAGAUACAAAAAAGACUUGAAAGAGUUAUUGUGAAGUGAAGUCUGAAUAUUUCAAAUGUUAUUCCAGUUUUAUAUGGCAGUAUUUGUGUAUACAGAUAUAGUGUAUGUAUUAUAUAUAUCUUUUUCAUUAGUUUGCUUGGGGGUUUUUUUCCCUAUGAAUCGCAAGGUGCACCGAAUUGGUGAAGGUCAGGCAGGAAACAGAUUAGCAGCAUCUUAUACCACAAUGUCAAAAUACUUAAAAGUGUUUACAGUGCCCACUGACACACAAUGAAUUUAAGACUGGCAGACUGAAGCAGAAAUAAAACUAUUCUUAUUCUUCUAAGCCAGAACAGGGGCCUCAGUGGUUUAUGGUUGUUUUAAGGUCCAUUAAUCCUUGAAUCAUGAGGCCGUGUAAAAAAUGACAGCUUUAACAUUCAGUCCCUGGGUUUAUUUAAAAUGUUUUUACUUCAACACUGUUUCUAAUUAAUAACAGUGACCUGAUUUAAAUGUAUCAAAUACAUAGGGAUAUGGAUUCACGUUCCUUCAUAGGACAUUUUGUCAUUUAUGGCAGCAAAGUGCAGCCUGAAUUGCAUAGUGCCAACUCUUUACAGGGAAGAGCUUACUCUAACAGAGAGAAAAUCAGAUACUGGACUUUAAUGUCUUUUACCAUUUCUAUUUAUGGAUUUAUUUGGAGGUCUGGGUUAGAGGGAAUAUGGUUUUGAGGCCAAAUGACAGAGCAAUUCUAGAAGUGUGCAUGCAUGUAUGCUUAUACAGCAUAUGUUUGUGCUCAAGUUUUUUACCAACAUUUUCCUUUCAAGUCCAUUGCUGAUCCCUGGUAUGUAAGUCCCUGGAAAAAAACAUCUAGAAAAGCAUUGGGUAAAAUAAUACAUUGGAACCUAAAUUAAAUUGAGUGAUUUUACAGAACAUGGCAGAUGUGUUCUUGUAAUGUAAACUGCAGUCUGAUAGGAGUGCUUUUGAUAAAACUUUAGCAAAAGGGCAUGUUAUUACAUCAGGAUAUACAUUACCGGAAUCCAUAGGCUUCUCCUUGACCCACGAUAAGAAACAAGAGAAGAGGGUUGAUAGAAGUUUUAGGUUUAUCUAUUCAGCAUUAUUUCUAAAAAAUACCAGCUUAUGUGAUACGUGGAAGAGAUGUUUUCUGUGUACCAGAGUAAUUCUCUGUCUCUACCAGUGUUCUGCUUCUAAACAGAUGUUCACAGGGCAGAUAUGUAGACUUAACCAGCAAAUAUUUUUUAGAAUGAUCAUUUGAAAGCUCCAAACUAAGCAGUGCUAUAUUGUCAGGAGCAGAACUAACAUUUGACACUGAGCAGUUCAUAGUUCAACUAAAAUAUCUGGAGAAAUCAUUAAAAAAAAAAUAAAAGCAGGGGAGAAGAAUCAAGUCAUUCAAGCUGAGCAAGGCAAAAAGGCAUGUAGAAGGCAUCUUCUUCCUUGCUGUAACUUUGUUGUAGUAUAGAUUCCUUUAGUUGCAAUAGACUGCCUUAGGAGAGGCAGCUGAUCUGAGACCCCCAACAACCAGGUUGUUCUACUUUCUAACAAAUAGAGGACUGAUGCAAGCAAAUGAAAAGAUUGUGAAACAUAAUCCUGUAUUUGGGCACUGUAAAGAUUUAUGUAAGGUUUAGACCAGGUAAAGUAACACUACCUAUCAGGAAUAUUGAGCAGAUUUGGGUUUGUAGAUGCUUUCCAAAUAGGAUGUAAAUCUUGAAAAAUACCGAAGGCACUUACUGUCCUCAGUGAUGACUAUUCAGCUCCUUUCAGUUCAUACCAAGGCUGCUGUUGGCAGUGUCCUUUCCCCCAGUACUUUUUUGCCUUACCUCUUGCUCCUUUUUCCACCCAAUGUACCAUAUCAGAACCUCUUAGCUGGCUGGAGAACAUAAAAGAAACUUUUAUGCCAAUAGAGUAAUUAGGUGGUUUAUAACUCUAUUCUAAAAAUGACAAAAAAAAAAAAAAAAAAAAAA